rnacentral:lncRNA from 1 species
GGUUAAACUAUGUGAAUGUUUUGGAUUCUUCUCAUCCUGAUAUUCUUCACCUUGAAGUGUAUUAGUUAUCUAUCACCAAAUAAGAAGCUGUCCCUAGGUCAGUGACCUGGAACAAUAGACAAAGUAUAAGCAGGGGAGAGGUGUCAUCUGGAGGCUGGACAGGAAGGGAUUGACUAGUUGAAUUCCAACUCUUUGGGGGCCUCAGUUCCUGGAGGCUGGCUACUGACUCUUAGCAACUCUGGCUCGUGAGCCAUGUCUGCCUCUCCAAUAUGACAACUGCAUUCAUCCACAGUUGUAAGAAAUGGACUCUGUUGAAAACACAGAAGUCACUCUCAUAUCAGUCCUAAGUCAUAAAAAAUAUAUUCUUCCAUUUUGCCAUAUUCUGUUAGAAACAAGGUACACAUGUGUCCUUCCUCCCUUCCUUCCUUCUCUCUCCCUCCCUCUCUUCCUUCUUUCCUUCUUCCUUUAUUUCAUUUUUGAUACCAGAUCUCACCAUGUAUCUCUGGCUGGCCUUGAACUCACAGAGAUCCACCUGCCUCUGCAUUCCUAGUGCAAAGAUUAAGGACAUGUGGCACCGUGGCCUGAAAUGCCAUGCCUUAAUAUUAGAUAGUGUUAUGAAUCAACUUCACCACACUACAUAUAGAUCAGGUAUCUCUGCCAGCUGAGAGUUACAUUUAAGGUAAGGGAUGCCCAGGACCAUAAGAAGAAGGAUGCAGGAGUCAUUUGGGAUCUUGUCAAAAGCUGCUUGAUACUCUAUAGCUGUUUUAAAAGAUGCACUUAGAAUCUUAAAGAAGUUGGAGAAGUGGAAGAACCAGACUGGGCCUAGUGAAUAGUAAAGGGAUUAUAAAACAGAAUCUUAAACCCAGUGAGGUAUUAGGGAACUGGAGUAUAACAUCCUUUAAGAAAACAUGUAUUUUAUCAGAAAUUUCGCUCUGAUGGAGAGUUAUAACUCUAAUAACAAAAUCCUACAAAUAUAGCAUAAAAACAACUGCCAACCAUCCAUAAAGUGAUUAAAAAUUUUUAAUACUAGCAAAGAUAUUAGUUAGUGCAGAACAGUAUUCACCAACGUGAGGUGAGGACCUCUCCAGACAUGUAUAAAGGUUCAAUAUCAGUAAAUAUGUCAGGAGAAAAUGCCACUCCCUGCCAUUUUGCACAAGCCAAAAAAACC